AUAUAUAUAUAUAUAUAUUUGUUUAACACCUUUUGGUUACUUCAUGAUUCCAUAUGUGUUAUUUCAUAGUUGUGAUGUCUUCACUAUUAUUCUACAACGCAGAGAAAAGUAAAAAUAAAGAAAAACCCUUGAAUGAGUAGUUGUGUCCAAACUUCUGACUGGUACUGUAUAUAUUUAAUGAUCUCGUCAACCAUACUUACAGAGUAAGUGAGUCAACUUACUGGUGUAGCAGUGCAUUGAAACAAGAAGUGUGAUUUUAGUGACUGACACAUUGUGAAAGUAGCCUAGUCAGGGAUUUAAGACAAUCACAUGCAUCAACAGCAUGUCAGAAAGGGAUGUACUGGAUGUACUGCUAAAGACUGCAUAGCUAUUUACAUUUCUUCAUUUGAGGAGUGGGCCUACAUUUUUUAAAGGGGCUAAAUGCAGCCCAUUUCCAAUGUAGUCUUUUCUUUAAAUACAAAUCCACAACAAAGUGUUGACUGUUCUAUAUGGUUUCUUAAUGUGUUGCCUCGCAUAAUGUGACCCAUCACUCAUCAUCAUCUCCAUCAAAGUGCGACUGAAGCGCUCCCUACUGGCAUCUCAACAUUACUGCAGCCUCCUGUCUCUCUUCAUAUGUCCCAAUCAUGUCCUCAUAACCAUUUGGAUCAAUAACAAAAUAACAAACUGUUUAUAAGGUCCACCACUGGAGUCCUGAGGGGAGGAGAGGUCCACCACUGGAGUCCUGAGGGGAGGAGAGGUCCACCACUGGAGUCCUGAGGGGAGGAGAGGUCCACCACUGGAGUCCUGAGGGGAGGAGAGGUCCUCCACUGGAGUCCUGAGGGGAGGAGAGGUCCACCACUGGAGUCAUGAGGGGAGGAGAGGUCCACCACUGGAGUCAUGAGGGGAGGAGAGGUCCACCACUGGAGUCAUGAGGGAGGAG
ensembl:lncRNA